rnacentral:lncRNA from 1 species
GUAAGAGUUGAGCUACCGCGGAGGACAGUGGGUUGGGUUAUCAUGGUAAGAGUUUAGCUACCGGCUUGGACAGUGGGUUGGGUUAUCAUGGUAAGAGUUUAGCUACCUUGAGGACAGUAGGCUGGGUUAUCAUGGUAAGAGUUGAACUACCGGCGAGGACAGUGGGUUGGGUUAUCAAGGUAAGAGUUGAGCUACCGGCGAGGACAGUGGGUUGGGUUAUCAUGGUAAGAGUUUAGCUACCGGCUUGGACAGUGGGUUGGGUUAUCAAGGUAAGAGUUGUGCUACCUUGAGGACAGUAGGUUGGGUUAUCAAGGUAAGAGUUGAGCUACCUUGAGGACAGUAGGGGCACAGCACUGGUAUGAGAAGAGAUGUAAUACAGACAUGCAGCAGAACAGACUAGCUAUGGCUGGGCUACAUCUCAAUGACCUGAACUGGCCUCACUCACCCUCUUUUCCUUUCCUUCC